rnacentral:rRNA from 1 species
UGCGUAGACGGUUAUGCAAGUUGGUAGCGUAAUCCCGGGGCUUAACUCCGGAACUACUACCAAAACUGUAUGGCUUGAGUGCGGUAGGGGUAUGUGGAAUUCCUAGUGUAGCGGUGGAAUGCGUAGAUAUUAGGAGGAACACCAGAGGCGAAAGCGACAUACUGGGCCGUAACUGACGUUGAGGCACGAAAGCGUGGGGAGCAAACA